rnacentral:rRNA from 1 species
AGAAACACUUAAACACCCUUAAGGCAUCAAAUCUCCUGCAAUCUUGGAAGCUAAGCAGGAUCAGCCCUGGUUAGUACUUGAAAAGGAGACUGCAAACAAAUACCAGGUGUUGUAGGUU